CGGUGAUGAUGUCACAAACUUUGAACGGCAGACUGUAAGAAGGGGGAUGAAGCAAGCCAUGGAUGCCUAUUACUGCUUGAUUACAGUUCUAGCCAUACAUGGGUGCCUUGUCCAUGGACUCGGUUCGGAAGAAUACAUCUUACAGGUUAAGCCAAAUUGUGGAAAGGAUCUGAAGACUGACAAUCCGGUCAUCACGGUUUUAUCUGAUCGGAUAAUAUACGCUACAGCGAAAUGUUUGAACGGAGACCAAUCUUUUUUAUCUCAAGAUGGUGUUCACUAUCAGAUAAGGGGUACCUUCAGUGCUGGCAAUAAAAACUGUAGA